ACACCAUGACUGUGAUGUCAGAUUCGAACAGGAACUGACUUGUUCCAGGGACGGGCCACAUUAAAUGUAAUGAUAAACAGGAUUUUGUACCCUAGACCCGCUGCGUUCUGCAAAAACCAGGGGCACCAAUGUGAAGGCACAGCGGACGGUCUUCGCCUUGUGAGAGGCUCGAUGGUGGGCCAUGAUGUUGGGUUGGCCUAUUUUGCGCUUCACAUGAUGCUGGAUAUGGGGAGACCAGUCUGGGAUGUUAAAUGGCCAACCAGAAAGGAACCUGUGAUUGGUGGACAGCUGACAAAGGGUGCCUCCCAUUGGUCAUGAAUUGUGACGACAAAAUCAUAAACACAUACGGGACCCACUGAUUGGCUGUUCACAUACUGAAGCCAAGCAAAGAUGUCCGGCGUCUGUUGCUGUUGUCCGAAGAAAACUACAGCUAAAAAAGCUCUACUGCUGGAUUACUUGGACAAUCUUAGUCAGAAAGAACCAAAGGAUAGAUAUACAGUACAUGCAAAUCAGAGUUUAUUAGCGAUUCUGAUCCAUACAAAACUCUGACCUAAACAAUGGGCUAGAUGGUAUCCCCACCCCUCCAUGUCUCAUGAACCCCAAGGACCUGUAGUUACACAGCUAUCUGCACUCUGUCAUUUAUACGGUGAUGCUUAUUAUUGUUAAAACAAUAUCUGAAGCAUUAUUAUUUGUAAAAUAUCUUGCU